CUUGUACAUGAAGCAUCUCAAUUCACUGUAUUACCUAUCAGGAUUGAAGUUAGCUCUACAUGAGUCUAAUUACAGUGAAGAAAGAACAGUAGUGCAAAAUGUUAGCUGUUAUUAACAGAACAGAGUACCUCAGGAUGUCUCUCCCUGCCAGAUUACUCCCACCAACACACAAACACUGCUUUAUUGAAGAGAAGCCUUUGCCUCUUUGUUAGACUGCACAUUCCCCAGUAAACAUU
rnacentral:lncRNA from 12 species